UCUCCGUAGGUGAACCUGCGGAGGGAUCAUUAAGAAUUGAACAGCAGUGUCUGGCACUGUUGCCCAUUCUAACCCUUUGUGAACUACAACUCUGUUGCUUCGGGGGCGACCCUGCCGCUUCGGCGGUGCGGCGCCCCCGGAGGCCAUUAAACACUGCAUCAUUGCGUCGGAGUUUAAACAAAUUAAACAAAACUUUCAACAACGGAUCUCUUGGUUCGGGCAUCGAUGAAGAACGCAGC
rnacentral:misc_RNA from 1 species